rnacentral:misc_RNA from 1 species
CACCCCCCAAGCCUUGCUUGAUGUUGGGCCAUGACGUGCUGUCAAGCCCCAAACCUUUAGGCGCCCCCUACUGGCCGCGAGCGUAGCAAGAAUUUAUUUCCCUCGUUCCGCGUAUCCAAUGGGUGGGUUGCCGAUUGACCCCUAAAUUUUACAAG